rnacentral:rRNA from 1 species
UCGGGAAUUUUGGGCAAUGGGCGAAAGCCUGACCCAGCAACGCCGCGUGAAGGAUGAAGUAUUUCGGUAUGUAAACUUCGAAAGAAUAGGAAGAAUAAAUGACGGUACUAUUUAUAAGGUCCGGCUAACUUCGUGCCAGCAGCCGCGGUAAUACGAAGGGAGCUAGCGUUGUUCGGAAUCACUGGGCGUAAAGCGCACGUAGGCGGAUAGUUAAGUCAGGGGUGAAAUCCUGGGGGCUCAACCCCAGAACUGCCUUUGAUACUGGCUGUCUCGAGGUCGAGAGAGGUUGGUGGAAUUCCUAGUGUAGAGGUGAAAUUCGUAGAUAUUAGGAAGAACACCAGUGGCGAAGGCGGCCAACUGGCUCGAUACUGACGCUGAGGUGCGAAAGCGUGGGGAGCAAACGGGAUUAGAUACCCAAGUAGUCCCUGAGCGGGCUGGCAAGGCGCAU